UACGUAGGGUGCGAGCGUUGUCCGGAAUUAUUGGGCGUAAAGAGCUUGUAGGCGGUUUGUCGCGUCUGCUGUGAAAAUCCGGGGCUCAACCCCGGACUUGCAGUGGGUACGGGCAGACUAGAGUGUGGUAGGGGAGACUGGAAUUCCUGGUGUAGCGGUGAAAUGCGCAGAUAUCAGGAAGAACACCCGUGGCGAAGGCGGUUCUCUGGGACGGUACUGACGCUGAGACGCGAAAGCGUGGGGAGCGAACAGG
rnacentral:rRNA from 1 species